GGGGGAAUAAUUCAGUGGGAGAGUGCAUGCUUGGCAUGCACAAGGUCCUAGGUUCAAUCCCAGGUACCUCCA
rnacentral:tRNA from 1 species